rnacentral:rRNA from 1 species
GAUGAACGCUAGCGGGAGGCUUAACACAUGCAAGUCGAGGGGUAAAUGGUAGCAAUACUAUGAGACCGGCGGACGGGUGCGUAACGCGUAUGCAACAUACCUUGUGCAGGGGGAUAGCCCGUGGAAACGCGGAUUAAUAUUCCAUAGUCCAGCUAUAUCGCAUGGUAUAGUUGGUAAAGAUUUAUCGGCACAAGUUUGGCAUGCGUCUGAUUAGCUUGUUGGUAGGGUAACGGCCUACCAAGGCUACGAUCAGUAGGGGUUCUGAGAGGAUUAACCCCCACACUGGUACUGAGACACGGACCAGACUCCUACGGGAGGCAGCAGUGAGGAAUAUUGGUCAAUGGGCGGAAGCCUGAACCAACCAUCCCGCGUGAAGGAAGACAGCCUUACGGGUUGUAAACUUCUUUUCUGUCAGAAGAAUAAGCUUGUCGAGACGAGUGAUGCCGGUAUGACAGGAAUAAGCAUCGGCUAACUCCGUG